CCCUGGGUGGUGCAGAUGGUUAGCACACUCAACUGCUAAUUGAAAGGUUGGGUGUUUGAAUCCACCCAGAGU
rnacentral:tRNA from 1 species